GUGGGAUGGUUGGCUCCCCAUCCCUGGACAUAUAAAAAGGCCCAAUGCUUUUUUGAUGAACCAUUGAGGUAAAGUGCUCCCAUAAGCCGACGACGUGCCACGUUGCAGAGUACCAAUAUGGACGAAUUUCGAUAAUCGUAGAUGUUUGGUAACAAGGUUACUGGUUUUAGUAUACUCACAAGGUGGGUGGCUUACAUAUGGGAGUUCGGUUUAUUUGGGAUAUUGUCUGUUGUGUUGACUGUUAACUUAAAUGCGUCAACAUCGAGGCUGGGCUUUGAUCGUGGAUGUCUGUUUCAGGAUUGCUUACUGAUGGGUCACCAUGAUGAGGUGUUCAGGAACUUAAUUCUUCAUGUAGGUCUACUGGAUACCGAAUUUAUUGGAUAUUAAGUGUGUGUCAAGUUGCAAGUGGCCUUCACAUUGAUAUAGGCGGUAACAGUGACAUAUAGUGUGGUAACUUAAGUCCCUAAUCAAGAUAUUUUUCAUAUCCUUCCUCCUGUCCUUCCAACCCCAAAAAUCAUCCAUUUCUUCUCUGGUUCAGGGGAUUUAAUUGGGAGAAUAAUUAACAAAAAAUUAUUUUUGUUGAAUCAGUAAAAUUGGUGAGAUUGGAACAUACUCGUAAUGUUCGAAACUGGUGAUCUACGGAAAUCCUUUUUUUGAUUUUUAUUCGUUGAAUUUUUUUUUUUCUGAAAUUAAGUUUUUCGUCUGGUAGUGAAAAAUCUGAAAAAACAAAUCACAUUUCCUUUAGACGUACAAACAAAACAUUUUGUGGUAACCUAUAGAAAUGAAGAUGGUUUAAUGUUGGUAUUAUUGAAAAAGAAAUGGGAUUCUUCCAGUUUAAUGGCUUUUUUAAGUCGUCGGUAGCAAAAGCGGAAUCUGUUCCAAAUCCUAAAUUAACCUAGUUUGCAUUCUUCUUUUCAUCCUCCCCGUCGAUAAUAAUAGUUUUUUUUUGUAAUUCAAGUUGAUAAGGUUCAACUUGAUUAAGGUAAUGAAAGGGAGAACGUAACGAAUGGACAAACCCAAUGGAAAAGUGGAGACGCUGCGAGUUGUCAGGAGAAGAACAAAGUAGGAGUUUUAGCUGAAGGAGAAAGAAGUAAUAUAAAUUUUUUUUAGUAGUAUAAACUUAUUCGAUUACCGAAGCCGUUUUGUAUUCGAUUUCUAAUGUAGACAUUUUUUAGAAGGAAAAGCUGAUGUGUAAAAUCCCCCAUUUUUUUUUUCGUCGUUAAGUCCAACUAAACAUUACAAACCAACCAGCGAAAAAAAGAAACAAGGGAUUUCAUACCCACACUUUCAGCUUUUAUGGGUUUUUCGCAUCUUUUCCAUUCGAUCAACAUUUUUUUCAUCGCCAACCCGAAGCAAUAGCGAAAAAUCUGUACAUGUUAACAUUUUUAAAAAAUAUUAUUCUUAUUUACAGGAGAAACAAAGUCAUUUGAUCAAACUACAAAAUGAAGGGUAAACCGAGGCACACACACAAAAAAAAAAUUUAAAUUUGUUAUGGUUUGAAGAAAGAAAAAACGAAUACGGAUGAAAAAAAAAUUAUGAUGAAGAGACUGAUAAGUUCUGAUCAACGUAACAUGUUAGUCAACUUCUUGCCUUGCUAACUAAUAGUGUUUUUUUUGAAUUGUUGUAGCCAUGUUACCGAUAAGAUCACCAUGAAGACUUCGGGAAGAAUGUGUACCAGAAAAGAAACCACAAGGUAUAGAAGAUUUAGGUUCUCAAAAGUAAAAGUUCAGUGCAUUCAAAAUUUAUCCAGUAGCAUGCUGAAGAAGAUUAUUAUUUUUUUUUUGUAUUUUUGUGAAAUGUGUUUACAGAAAUGUUUUUGGACAGGGCUCUUUAGGUGCAUGGCGUUGUCUUUUUUACACGAAUCUGGUUGACUUUGAUCUAGGAUGCAUGUUAGAGCUAGUAGCCCGAAUGAAAGCAAUCAAUUGUUAACGUGAUCGUGAUUAAUCUUUCAACAAACCAAUCAGAUAUUAAAGGUAGUCUUCGUCAGGGUUGUUUUCGUCAGCGCAUCAAGUAUCAACCCAUUUGAAGUAAAUAGGUUCGUGCUGGAGUACUUAAACCAUCCCGUCGUUGAUUGUGACUGAUUUCAAUCGAUAAUUUGUGUUAAUGUUACGUUGUGGCGCUGUGUUACUGUUGCCAAAAUAAGUGUUUAGUAUCGACACGACGCAAGAAAGGUAAGCAUGUUCGAAUCCUUCAACUCCUUGUAAGUUAUCCUUAUUUUUUAUAAUACUUUUUCUUGACUUAUAUUUCGUAACUGUAAAAGUCUUAAAUAUAUUACCUAAAAGCUAUUUACAAUCUAUGUUCCAGCUUUCUAAAUACCCCCAGUCUUCAGAUGUCAGGUCUGGUAGAUUUGAACUUAGAUCUGUGUAUUGUGGAAGUUUGGAAAACCUGUGUUAUCGUUUAAACUGGACAUUUCAUUAUUAAGGUAUGGCAAGUAUUAAUACCGCGUUUU